rnacentral:lncRNA from 10 species
UUGCUUUUCCUCUCCACUCUCUUCCGUGUUUCUUUUUUCUCUCCCCAAUAACCCAUGGUGAGAAUUUUAGUUUUUUUUUUUUUUUUUUUUUUCCUUCAUGCCCCAGUGGUGCCUGGAAUGUCAGCGAGACAGAACCGUUCUUUCCCCUGAAAAGGGGGCUGAAGCCAGGGAGCCAAGUGGUCUGGCUCAGCGAGUCCCUUCUCCAUGGAGCCCAUCAAGCUAAGAUCUACAGGCUUGAAAUUCU